rnacentral:rRNA from 1 species
GCUGGCGGCAGGCCUAACACAUGCAAGUCGAGCGGCAGCGACUUAACUGAACCUUCGGGGAACGUUAAGGGCGGCGAGCGGCGGACGGGUGAGUAAUGCCUGGGAAUAUGCCCUGAUGUGGGGGAUAACUAUUGGAAACGAUAGCUAAUACCGCAUAAUCUCUUCGGAGCAAAGAGGGGGACCUUCGGGCCUCUCGCGUCAGGAUUAGCCCAGGUGGGAUUAGCUUGUUGGUGAGGUAAUGGCUCACCA